rnacentral:rRNA from 1 species
UAGAGUUUGAUCAUGGCUCAGGGUGAACGUUGGCGGUGCGUCUAAUACAUGCAAGUCGAGCGCCACUUUUAGUGGAGCGGCGGACGGCUGAGUAACACGUUGGUAGCUACCCCGUACUCAGGGAUAAGCGCGAGAAAUUGCGUCUAAUACCGGAUGGUCCCGUAAGGGUAAAGAUUUUUCGGUACGGGAGGUGCCUGCGGCCUAUCAGCUUGUUGGUAAGGUAACGGCUUACCAAGGCUAUGACGGGUAGCUGGUCUGAGAGGAUGAUCAGCCAGAGGGAGACUGAGACACGGCUCCCACUCCUACGGGAGGCAGCAGUAAAGAAUCUUCCGCAAUGGGGGAAACCCUGACGGAGCGACACCGCGUGCAGGAUGAAGGCCUUCGGGUUGUAAACUGCUUUUCUGGGGGAAUAAUUCUGAAGGUACCCUAGGAAUAAGCACCGGCUAAAUCCGUGCCAGCAGCCGCGGUAAUA